GAAAGCGUGGGGAGCGANCAGGAUUAGAUACCCUGGUAGUNCACGCCGUAAACGAUGAGUGCUAGGUGUUAGGCCCUUUCCGGGGCUUAGUGCCGCAGCUAACGCAUUAAGCACUCCGCCUGGGGAGUACGACCGCAAGGUUGAAACUCAAAGGAAUUGACGGGGGCCCGCACAAGCGGUGGAGCAUGUGGUUUAAUUCGAAGCAACGCGAAGAACCUUACCAGGUCUUGACAUCCCGAUGCCCGCUCUAGAGAUAGAGUUUUACUUCGGUACAUCGGUGACAGGUGGUGCAUGGUUGUCGUCAGCUCGUGUCGUGAGAUGUUGGGUUAAGUCCCGCAACGAGCGCAACCCUUAUUGUUAGUUGCCAUCAUUCAGUUGGGCACUCUAGCGAGACUGCCGGUAAUAAACCGGAGGAAGGUGGGGAUGACGUCAAAUCAUCAUGCCCCUUAUGACCUGGGCUACACACGUGCUACAAUGGCUGGUACAACGAGUCGCAAGUCGGUGACGGCAAGCUAAUCUCUUAAAGCCAGUCUCAGUUCGGAUUGUAGGCUGCAACUCGCCUACAUGAAGUCGGAAUCGCUAGUAAUCGCGGAUCAGCACGCCGCGGUGAAUACGUUCCCGGGCCUUGUACACACCGCCCGUCACACCACGAGAGUUUGUAACACC
rnacentral:rRNA from 1 species